UACGUAGGGGGCAAGCGUUGUCCGGAUUGAUUGGGCGUAAAGAGCGUGUAGGCGGCCAGGCAGGUCCGCUGUGAAAACUCGAGGCUCAACCUCGAGAUGUCGGCGGAAACCAUCUGGCUAGAGUCCGGAAGAGGAGAGUGGAAUUCCUGGUGUAGCGGUGAAAUGCGCAGAUAUCAGGAAGAACACCCGUGGCGAAGGCGGCUCUCUGGGACGGUACUGACGCUGAGACGCGAAAGCGUGGGGAGCGAACAGG
rnacentral:rRNA from 1 species